GGAGGAAUAGGAUAACGGUAAUCCAACGGUCUUGAAAACCGUCGUGAGCGAUCACUUGGGGGUUCGAAUCCCUCUUCCUCCG
rnacentral:tRNA from 1 species